rnacentral:ncRNA from 1 species
GAACUUUGGAGAACCUCAUUUUACAUGGGUGCCGAAGGUGAAAGCUUUUCUUAAGCGAAUCUCUCAGGCAAAAGGACAAAGA